UUGGAUGUAAAGUGAUGUAUAUAUAUUUUUAUUAUACUUUAAGUUCUAGGGUACAUGUGCACAAUGUGCAGGUUUGUUACAUAGAUAUACAUGUGCCAUGUUGAUUUGCAGCACCCAUUAACUCGUCAUUUACAUUAGGUAUUUCUCCUAAUGCUAUCCCUCCCCCGGGCCCCUUUGUGUGAUGUUCCCUGCCAUGUGUCCAAGUGUUCUCAUUGUUCAACUCCCACCUAUGAGUGAGAACAUGCAGUGUUUGCUUUUCUGUCCUUGCGCUAGUUUGCUGAGAAUGAUGGUUUCCAGCUUCAUCCAUGUCCCUGCAAAGGACAUGAACUCACCCUUGUUUAUGGCUGCAUAGUAUUCCUUGGGAUAUUUGUGGCAUAUUUUCUUAUCCAGUCUAUCAUUGAUGGGCAUUUGGGUUGGUUCCAAGUCUUUGCUAUUGUGAAUAGUGCCACAGUAAACAUACAUGGGCAUGUGUCUUUAUAGCAGCAUGAUUUAUAAUCCUUUGGGUGUAUACCCAGUAAUGGGAUGGCUGGGUCAAAUGGUAUUUCUAGUUCUAGAUCCUUGAGGAGUCGCCACACUGUCUUCUGCAGUGGUUGAACUAGUUUACACUACUCCCACCAACAGUGUGAAAGUGUUCCUAUUUCGCCACAUCUUCUCCAGCAUCUGUUGUUUCCUGUCUUUUUAAUGAUCACCAUUCUAACUGGCAUGAGAUGGUAUCUCAUUGUGGUUUUGAUUUCCAUUUCUCUGAUGACCAGUGAUGAUAAGCAUUUUUUAUAUGUCUGUUGGCUGCAUAAAUGCCUUCUUUUGAGAAGUGUCUGUUCAUAUCCUUUGCCCACUUUUUGAUGGGGUUGUUUUUUUCUUGUAAAUUUCUUUGUAGAUUUUGGAUAUUAGCCCUUUGUCUGAUGGGUAGAUUGCAAAAAUUUUCUCCCAUUCUGUAGGUUGCCUGUCCACUCUAAUGGUAGUUUGUUUUGCUGUGCAGCUGUUUAGUUGAAUUAGAUCCCAUCUGUCUGUUUUGGCUUUGGUUGCCUUUGUUUCUGGCGUUUUCAUCAUGAAGUCCUUGCCCACACCUAUGUCCUGAAUGGUAUUGCCUAGGCUUUCUUCUAGGGCUUUUAUGGUUUUAAGUCUAACAUUUAAGUCUUUAAUCCAUCUUGAAUUAAUUUUUCUAUAAGGUGUAAGGAAGGGAUCCAGUUUCAGCUUUCUACAUAUGGCUAGCCAGUUUUCCCAGCACCAUUUAUUAAAUAAGGAAUCCUUUUCCCAUUUCUUGUUUUUGUCAGGUUUGUCAAAGAUCAGAUGGUUGUAGAUGUGUGGUGUUAUUUCUGAGGCCUCUGUUCUGUUCCAUUGGUCUAUCUCUGUUUGGGUAGCAGUACCAUGUUGUUUUGGUUACGGUAGCCUUGUAGUAUAGUUUGAAGUUACGUAGUGUGAUGCCUCCAGCUUUGUUCUUUUGGCUUAGGAUGGUCUUGGCAAUGCAGGCUCUUUUUUGGUUCCAUAUGAACUUGAAAGUAGUUGUUUCCAGUUCUAUGAAAAAAGUCAUUGGUAGCUUGAUGGGGAUGGCAUUGAAUCUAUAAAUUACUUUGGGCAGUAUCGCCAUUUUCACGAUAUUGAUUCUUCCUAUCCAUGAGCAUGGAAUGUUCUUCCAUUUGUUUGUGUCCUCUUGUAUUUCAUUGAGCAGUGGUUUGUAGUUUUCCUUGAAGAGGUCCAGAGGUCCUUCGCAUCUCUUGUAAGUUGGAUUCCCAGGUAUUUUAUUCUCUUUGUAGCAAUUGUGAAUAGUUCACUCAUGAUUUGGCUGUAUGUUUGUCUGUUAUGGGUGUAUAGGAAUGCUUGUGAUUUUUGCACAUUGAUUUUGUAUCCUGAGACUUUGCUGAAGUUGCUUACCAGCCUAAGGAGAUUUGGGGCUGAGAUGACCAAGUUUUCUAAAUAUACAGUCGUGUCAUCUGCAAACAGGGACAAUUUGACUUCCUCUUUUCCUAAUUGAAUACCCUUUAUUUCUUUCUCUUGCCUGAUUGCCCUGGCCAGAACUUCUAACACAGUGUUGAAUAGGAAUGGUGACAGAGGGCAUCCUUGUCUUUUGCCAGUUUUCAAAGGGAAUGCUUCCAGUUUUUGCCCAUUCAGUAUGAUAUUGGCUGUGAGUUUGUCAUAAACAGCUCUUAUUAUUUUGAGAUACAUUCCAUCAAUACCUAGUUUAUUGAGA
rnacentral:lncRNA from 10 species